rnacentral:rRNA from 1 species
AACCUCCGCAAUGUGAGAAAUCGCGACGGGGGGAUCCCAAGUGCCAUUCUUAACGGGAUGGCUUUUCAUUAGUGUAAAGAGCUUUUGGAAUAAGAGCUGGGCAAGACCGGUGCCAGCCGCCGCGGUAACACCGGCAGCUCUAGUGGUAGCAAUUUUUAUUGGGCCUAAAGCGUCCGUAGCCGGUUUAAUAAGUCUCUGGUGAAAUCCUGUAGCUUAACUGUGGGAAUUGCUGGAGAUACUAUUAGACUUGAGACCGGGAGAGGUUAGAGGUACUCCCAGGGUAGAGGUGAAAUUCUGUAAUCCUGGGAGGACCGCCUGUUGCGAAGGCGUCUAACUGGAACGGUUCUGACGGUGAGGGACGAAAGUUGGGGCGCGAACCGGAUUAGAUACCCGGGUAGUCCUAACUGUAAACGAUGCGGACUUGGUGUUGGGGUGGCUUUGAGCUGCUCCAGUGCCGAAGGGAAGCUGUUAAGUCCGCCGCCUGGGAAGUACGGUCGCAAGACUGAAACUUAAAGGAAUU